CAGAUAAAGCUUAUUGUGAACAACACCAGCCUCAGGUUAUACAGCCCCUCACCCCUCUCAGUAAAGAGCAGCAGACGUAGAUAAUUGCUUCCCAUUGUGACGCAGAGCGAGCUCAGGCCAGGGAGUGUGUAUGUGUGUGUUUGUGAGGUGGCUGUGUCUUAUGUGAGGGGUAAGACGUAGAGUGACUAACUUAUGAAAAAGUUUACAGCAGGACUUUAAUAGAGCAACAGGAGGGUGAGUUGACCACUUGUACCCAAUGUGGAUCUGCAGGAUGCAUCUGAAGUUAUGCAUGGUAACCAAAGGAUAUAUGAUGCGUCAUAAUAAUGCCUGAAGACACUAUCAGAAGACUGAAACCGCCUACAGUACGUUCAUACUCCUCCUGUCUGGGACCCACCAUGGUUAUCUGAGGUUCUGAAAACACAAGGCUGCCGCAAGCCUGAUGAAAACAGCCACCUGUCAGAAUAUGCUUGGACUCGUUCACCUUGUUAUGACUCUAUACUUGUGAUGGAAGGUCAAGUUUCUGUCAACCCACUUCUGAGCUUUUAAUUGCUGAUAAGAUGGUUGCUGCUGUCAGGGUGAGGUUAGAUUUAUUAAAAUGUUGUUGUCAGGGAAACUCACGCAAGGAGGACUGGGAGAGGCUCUAUGAGUUACAGGAUGUCUUAGACAUUUUGCACAACCUGGGGAGAGCUAUUAUGUACUGUACUCUGUACCAACUUCUGCAUACAAUUGUAUUACUAAAGGAGUAUUAUAAUACUU
ensembl:lncRNA